CCCCUAGAUGUUCUGGGCCGCACGCGCGCUACACUGAACAGUUCAACAAGUCUUAACCUUGGCCGAUAGGUCUGGGUAAUCUUUGAACGCUGUUCGUGAUUGGGAUAGACCUUUGCAAUUAUGGGUCUUCAACGAGGAAUUCCUAGUAAACGCAAGUCAUCAGCUUGCAUUGAUUACGUCCCUCCCCUUUGUACACACCGCCCGUCGCACCUACCGAUUGAAUGGUCCGGUGAAAUCUCGGGACGGCGGCUUGGUCGCUUGCGUCCGACUGCUGAAACUUGAUUAAACCAUAUCAUUUAGAGGAAGGUGAAGUCGUAACA
rnacentral:rRNA from 1 species